CGCCAUUCGAGUGAGAAGGAGAAAGAAGAACGCUGUAGUGUAGAGAAUAGGAGCAUAUUGAAUUUUUCUCCUGGCAGAAGAAUAAUUUUCACUUCUUGAAAAAAUGAAGACUUUUCAAUUUUACAACGACUUGAAAGAAUAUCUUUUACGGGAAGAAUUUAGCAACAAUUUAACGGUCAGAGAGCGAAGUGAAAUACGACGUGUGUCCGUGAAUUUUAUGAUUAAAGUCCAUCAUCCAUGCCCUGGCUGCUCUACAGGGUGUAUCAGGACAGGAGGCAGAAGACUUAUUUCUUGGUGGCCCAGAAUACAGUAUCAGUGAAGUGGAAGAAUUUAACUGAAAGAUAGGGCAGCAAUUAAAGAAGGAGGGAAUGCUGUGAUAUCUGUUGGAAUAGAAGAUGAUGCUACUGCCCAGUGCUUCCAGAAUCCUUCAUUUGAGUCUUGGGUCUGAAUCUACUGCGUCACUGCCAAGUAUUCUGGGGUAAUGUAUCUUGUUUUGUUUACAUUUUGUUUUUCUUCAUAUUCCAAGCUCAUUUACUUGACCUUAGCUUUAAUAAACUGGAUGGCUGUCUCCUUCACAAUUGAUUUUAAAGUACUAUACUAUUCAUUACAUAAAAAGCUCUGAACAGUUUAGUCCCUUCCUCUAUUUGGUACUGUCUCUCCCCCAUCACUCCUCAGUGUAAUCUUUAAUCCACAACCACUAAUUUGCUUAUGAAAGAACUGGUGAAGCAGCUUGCACAUGUAUACCAAAAAUAUAGAAUGCCGGCUAUAAAUGAAAAACCUUUCAAAUACUUUUAAA